AAGUAAUUCUGUUAUUGCGGAAGCGGUGAAAUAUAAGCUAGUUGGGGAAAGUGUGGGAUAGAAAUUAUUAACUUUAAGUUUAUUAGCCUUUGACCUUGCUAAAUAAAAAUCAUUAUAACUAUUUUCAAACUCUAAAAUUGCUUGUUUUGAUAGAUUAUCGAAUAUGCAAAUAGGAUUAUUGAGAUAAUCUACUAAACUAGAGCAAGAAUAAUAAAAUAAUGGGAGUAAUUGU
rnacentral:sRNA from 1 species